GCCGGUGGACGGUUAUAACGCUUGCGAUUGCUACCACUACUACGGUGUUUCAUAUGAUCUGAUAAGUAAGUAUGCGAUUGCUCUGCAGUUCUAGCUGUGGCUAAACCUUCUUCUUCUUCUUCUUAAUUCCAAGUAACUUGCAAAAGCCCUCCCCCAGAUAAAGGGUAUCGUAUUGUAAUAUUUCCAUCAAGAAUCAGGGCCUGAUAAGGCCGUAAUUGGUAAACAGCUUGGAGGUGAAGAGAUGCCUCGGCCAUUGAGCAGUCUAAAGAGCCCAUUUUUCGAAUCAAGUGUGUCCUUGAACGGCCC
rnacentral:sRNA from 2 species